rnacentral:lncRNA from 1 species
UCUCUCUCUAAUGUGUACAUGUGUGUGUGUAUAUAUGUAUAUAGUCUAUCAGCAUCUAAAAUAUUUGUGUUUUAUAUAAUUUUCUUUAUUACUGCUACCUUUUCUGAACAAAAUACUACUUUACGCACACGUUAUCGUUGCAUCUUAUCUGCCGCAUCUUCGGCAUCUUUCAUAUUUAUUUUAGGCAUAAUUCGAUAUGUAUCUGAUAAAUCUUUAUUAGAACUCGUUUAUUCGUACGAAUAUUAAUCAAAAAUGGUAGAGAGAAAGAACAUUAAUUCUAAUAGUCCCACAUAAUUUGAAAUCAAGUAGGCCCUAUUCGUAUUAAUGGCAUAUUCUUGCCACCGUCAGCAAUAUCUCGCUAGAAAAAGAAAAAAAAAAAUUGUUGCUCUAUCUAAUAAUUUAAUUAAACCUUGUUAUCAUUCAAUAUCUGACACAGAAAGAAAGAUUUUUGUUACCUUUACAUCUUAAAAAUAGAGUUAAACAGGUAACAAAGUGCGGACUGAAAGUACAGUUAAAGAAAUAAACUUCCAAGAUUUGUUAAUAUAUUUAAGCGUAAUUAUCUUUCAGAAAUUAGCUAUUUUAAUGCUUAACUUUAAACGUGUGCAGUUCAUUUUUCUCAAAAAAAAAAAUUCGAAAUGCCUAAACUGGAGCCGUCCGAUGCUCACACCAGAUAACCAUACCGAUGUAAGAUGAUAAUCGUAAGCUUAAAACAAUAUUUAUCGAUAAAGAAUCUGAUAUAGCUAUAGAUAUAUCGUUUCAGGAAGAAGAUACAGAUAGAUAAGACUCAUCUGCAGAUGAGAUUUAUCGAGCGCUGGGAUCCUGUCUAAAUAAACAGGUCGUUCAUUAAGAGUUGGGAGACGUAAGUCCAAAAGCGAGGACGAACGUUCGUUGUAGUAACAGGAAUUCGCGCCCUAUUACAGCCAUUUGAUUCAACUAAAUUAAAAGUUCUGCUCACGAAAAGAAGCUGUCGGGUUGAAUUAUGGGCAGCAGACACGUGAUGUCGGUGCAGGAAUAAAAUCAAAUGAAGUCUAUAGUCUGCUCCGGCGAUAAAUCACUUGACCUGGUCAAUUCUAACACAGAUUAUGUCGCAAAAAUGAGAAAUUCUUAAUUGUGACUUACUAUUUUUUUAUUUUAUUGUAUUCGGAAAUGUUUAUAGUAAUGUUUAGGACGAUCUCCACGUAAAAAUUUUUUUUUUUUUUUUUCGUUUUUAAGAAACUUGUAACGAUUAGAAAAGAUGGUUAACGUGUAAAAACUUUUUCCUUCUCUUUAAUUAUUUUUAUUAAAAACAUGGACAUCUCGAGAUCAGAGACGAGAUUGAAUUACCGAAAAUCUGAUUUGGAACUAAGUGAUUAAUUACUCCUUAAGAAUAAUAUAUUCUAGACAAGAGGAAAAGUCGAUUCUGGGUCAAAUUUAAAUUUCUUUUCAGUAGCAAGAUAACAUGUAACAUUGUAUACACGUAUCUGUUUUAACCGUAAUUUCGAU